rnacentral:lncRNA from 1 species
AGUAACUUACACUUAUAACUAAUUAGAAAGAAAAAAAUAUUGAAAAAAACAAGUUGCUUGUGUCACCUACUCUUAAAUUAAUUUAACAACGAUCCAAGGGUCUGUGAUAAUGCCAGAUACCACAUCUAGCUCAUGGGGAUCAAUUUGAAUUAUAGAAGAGCUCCUUGACGAGGUUGCUAUGUGACACUAUUUAUUAAGAAUAUUGCAAGAAAUAAUCUAUGGAUAUGAAUAGGCCUUCAGAUGGAUUUUAUCUUCCUCUUAUUAUCUUCAAAAAUAAAAAUAAAAACUUAGCUGCAAUGCCCCAUGUGCCUCUACAAUGGCUACUAGAAUUGACAUUGUAAUCAUAAUGGCCGAACAACCAAGAAAGUAAAAUAAAUCAAGUCGCACGAAUAACAGAAAAAAGUAGUGCCACUGACGAGACCUGGAUAUUUUGUAUGACAUCAGAGACCAAAAAGUAGUACCACAAAAAGAACACAUAAAAAUACUAUUAUCACAAGAUUACAUUAUGAUAAUACACUUAUUCAAAUACGAGGGAAUGAUAAACUUGAACUACAUAACGAAUUAUUCGCAAACACCUAAAAUGGAGCAAUAAUUGGGUUUUGUAAAUGGAUAAUGCAAGAUCCCACACUGGAAAUUAGACAAGCAACUUCAUAAAAGUCAAGAAGAUUAACAUGAUACCCAAAUAAUGCUUGAACUGGUAGUUUUGGAGCAAGCUAUUUCAGACUCCCUAUUAUGGAUUACACACAAAAAGUCUUUAUUAUAUUAAUUGUUUGAUAUUCAACACUAUGCCCGUACACGGUCAAAUCGCCAAGUCAGACUAUUUUUUACAAUGGAUCAACGAAGAAAUACUAAUUUCUAACCAUGAAUUGCAUGAAUAUAUAUCAUUUUUGUUCAAAAAUGAGUCUAUAAGCACAAAUACUGCCUACUUUAUUGACGUCUUUAUUAGUUUAUUUAUUUUUUUAAAUAAAUGCUAGAAGUAUGCAAGACUACAUUCUUCCAAAAUCAAGAAAUAUUUUAUGUCCUAAUUUUUUUUUCAAACGAAUACCGAACGUUCACACAAGAUCCUAGCACCAAUGGAUUACUUACUGUUUUCAUAAGCUAAAGCACAUUUGACAAGAAAGUUUUUUGGAUCCUCUUUAUUGGUGUAAGAGGCAUGAGAGUAUAAUUGUAAUUUCUAAAGUCGUUUUAAUAAAUUACUUUAUAAAAAUAUUCUUAUUUGGAAUAUCGUUAAUACGUUUAUAUUGAUGUCAUAAUUCAUGGAAUAUUCUAUACAUCAAUCAUAGAAUCUUUUUUUUUUUUUCUUACUCCCCUUCCCUAUAAUUGGUCAAAUUAUAGAAGAUUGUUUUAAGAGUAAAAUAGUUAUAAAAUGAAACUGAGAAUUGAAAAAAUCGUGUUAUUAGUGUCUCAAAUUAAAAAAAGAUAUUUUUUUGAUCAAUCUAUAUAUUUCAUGUCAUCGUAAUAAUGAUUAAUACAUAAAGUUAUUUUGGGAAAAAACCAAAA